GAUAUUGGUCAAUGGGGGGAACCCUGAACCAGCGACACCGCGUGAGGGAAGAAGGUUUUCGGAUUGUAAACCUCUGUUGUCGGGGAAGAUAAUGACGGUACCCGAUGAGGAAGCCACGGCUAACUACGUGCCAGCAGCCGCGGUAAUACGUAGGUGGCAAGCGUUGUCCGGAAUUACUGGGUGUAAAGGGAGCGUAGGCGGGAAGGCAAGUUGAAUGUUAAAUCUAUCGGCUCAACCGAUAGCCGCGUUCAAAACUGUCUUUCUUGAGUGAAGUAGAGGCAAGCAGAAUUCCUAGUGUAGCGGUGAAAUGCGUAGAGAUUAGGAGGAAUACCAGUGGCGAAGGCGGCUUGCUGGGCUUUUACUGACGCUGAGGCUCGAAAGUGUGGGGAGCAAACAG
rnacentral:rRNA from 1 species